CGGUGUUUAACUGGCGUGAUGUGGGACGUCCUACCGGUGGGCUUAGCCUCGCGAGGGGCGGCCCAACUAAUAUCCCGUCGCGGUGCUCUUUACUGAGUGUCGAGUCGGGCCGGUACGUUUACUUUGAACAAAUUAGAGUGCUUAAGCAGCUAUCCUCGCCUGAAUACUGCGUGCAUGGAAUAAUGGAAUAAGGACCUCGGUUCUAUUUUGUGGUGUUCGAACCCGAGGUAAUGAUAUAGGACAGAUGGGGCAUUCGUAUGCGACGUUAGAGGUGAAAUUCUUGGAUCGUCGCAAGACGGACAGAAGCGAAAGCAUUUGCCAAAAAUGUUUUCAUUAAUCAAGAACGAAAGUAGAGGUUCGAAGGCGAUCAGAUACCGCCCUAGUUCUAACCAUAAACGAUGCCAGCUAGCGAUCCGCCGAAGUUCCUCCGAUGACUCGGCGGGCAGCUUCCGGGAAACCAAAGCUUUUGGGUUCCGGGGGAAGUAUGGUUGCAAAGCUGAAACUUAAAGGAAUUGACGGAAGGGCACCACCAGGAGUGGAGCCUGCGGCUUAAUUUGACUCAACACGGGAAACCUCACCAGGCCCAGACACCGGAAGGAUUGACAGAUUGAUAGCUCUUUCUUGAUUCGGUGGGUGGUGGUGCAUGGCCGUUCUUAGUUGGUGGAGCGAUUUGUCUGGUUAAUUCCGAUAACGAACGAGACUCUAGCCUGCUAAAUAGGCGUACCUUAUGGUAUCGCGAAGGCCCCCGGCUUCGGCCGGUGGGUUUUUACUACCAACGUACAAACAAAUCUUCUUAGAGGGACAGGCGGCUUCUAGCCGCACGAGAUUGAGCAAUAACAGGUCUGUGAUGCCCUUAGAUGUUCUGGGCCGCACGCGCGCUACACUGAAGGAAUCAGCGUGUGU
rnacentral:rRNA from 1 species